rnacentral:rRNA from 1 species
CUUUACUAUAGCUUGGUACUGGGUCGUAUCGUACGAUGUGCAGGAUAGGUGGGAGACGGUGAUGGAGGGGCGCCAGCCCUUCCGGAGUCAUCCUUGAGAUACCACCCUUCGUACGGUGCGGCUCUAACCCGGAAACGGGGACAGUGCUUGGUGGGUAGUUUAACUGGGGCGGUUGCCUCCUAAAAUGUAACGGAGGCGCGCAAAGGUGGGCUACUUCCGGAUGGAAAUCGGAAGAAUAGUGUAUUCGCAUAAGCCCGCUUGACUGGGAGACCAACAAGUCGAUCAGAGACGAAAGUCGGCGAAAGUGAUCCGGCACCAACACGUGGGAGUGGUGUCGCUCAACGGAUAAAAGUUA